CCACCCACCCACCUACGACCGCUGCAGCCCCCGAGCGUUUCACCAUCAACUUCACCAUCACCAACCUCCCCUACAGUUCCGACCUGGCGACUCCCGACUCGGCCAAGUUCAACACGACGCGAAGAGUCAUGGCCACCUUGCUUCACCGCCUUCUGAAGGACAGCAGCAUUGGCCCCGCUUUCCUGGGAUGUGAAACAACAGCCUUCAGGCCCGUCAGGCAAGGGGACGGCACGGGGGUGGACGCCGUCUGCACCUACGCGAAGGAGCCCUCCGCCCCACCCUUGGACAGGG